rnacentral:rRNA from 1 species
AUUGAACGCUGGCGGCAGGCCUAACACAUGCAAGUCGAGCGGAUGCAGGGAGCUUGCUCCUGGAUUCAGCGGCGGACGGGUGAGUAAUGCCUACGAAUCUGCCUGGCAGUGGGGGAUAACGUCCGAAAACGGGCGCUAAUACCGCAUACGUCCUGAGGGCGAACGUGGUGGAUCUUCGGACCUCACGCUAUCAGAUGAGCCUAGGUGGGAUUAGCUAGUUGGUGGGGUAAAGGCCUACCAAGGCGACGAUCCGUAGCUGGUCUGAGAGGGUGAUCAGUCACACUGGAACUGAGACACGGUCCAGACUCCUACGGGAGGCAGCAGUGGGGAAUAUUCGGCAAUGGGCGAAAGCCUGAUCCAGCCAUGCCGCGUGUGUGAAGAAGGUCUUCGGAUUGUAAAGCUCUUUAAGUUGGGGGGAAGGGGAGUAAGUUAAUCCCUUGCUGUUUUGACGUUACCAACAGAAUAAGCACCGGCUAACUUCGUG